AGAGCUAGCCCCGCCCCGCCAGCUCCGCGAGGCGCGUAGGCCGGAUCUCGGAUUUUGGCCACGCCUCCCAGGCAAAGGCUCUAAGCUAGAUGCCAAGGGCGAGGAGAGAGUGCCCUGGAAAAUAGGUGAUCUAGAGUUCGAAUCCCACGGCUGCUGAUUCUGAGACGGAACGGAAAGACGUGGAAAUCUUGCGAACAUGAAAAGGAAAAAGAGCAUCUCGCCAGAAAUACAGAACACAGCCUGCACAGUUGGGUGCUGUAUUCCGGCAGUCUGAGGAUUCACUGACUGCAUCUGUUUACUCUUCCGACCUCAUUCUGCAUCUUGGGAGAACACGACUGAAGUCAACUUUCUGGCAAGUUCAUCUGAGGAAGAAG